rnacentral:rRNA from 1 species
UACGUAGGGGGCUAGCGUUGUCCGGAAUCAUUGGGCGUAAAGCGCGUGUAGGCGGUUCGGUAAGUCCGCUGUGAAAGUCGGGGGCUCAACCCUCGGAUGCGGUGGAUACUGUCGAGCUUGAGUACGGAAGAGGCGAGUGGAAUUCCUGGUGUAGCGGUGAAAUGCGCAGAUAUCAGGAGGAACACCAAUUGCGAAGGCAGCUCGCUGGGACGUUACUGACGCUGAGACGCGAAAGCGUGGGGAGCAAACAGG